rnacentral:rRNA from 1 species
UGGGGAAUUUUGGACAAUGGGCGAAAGCCUGAUCCAGCAAUGCCGCGUGUGUGAAGAAGGCCUUCGGGUUGUAAAGCACUUUUGUCCGGAAAGAAAUCCUUGGCUCUAAUACAGUCGGGGGAUGACGGUACCGGAAGAAUAAGCACCGGCUAACUACGUGCCAGCAGCCGCGGUAAUACGUAGGGUGCAAGCGUUAAUCGGAAUUACUGGGCGUAAAGCGUGCGCAGGCGGUUUGCUAAGACCGAUGUGAAAUCCCGGGCUCAACCUGGGAACUGCAUUGGUGACUGGCAGGCUAGAGUAUGGCAGAGGGGGGUAGAAUUCCACGUGUAGCAGUGAAAUGCGUAGAGAUGUGGAGGAAUACCGAUGGCGAAGGCAGCCCCUGGGCCAAGUACUGACGCUCAUGCACGAAAGCGUGGGGAGCAAACAGGAUUAGAUACCCUGGUAGUCCACGCCCUAAACGAUGUCAACUAGUUGUUGGGGAUUCAUUUCCUUAGUAACGUAGCUAACGCGUGAAGUUGACCGCCUGGGGAGUACGGUCGCAAGAUUAAAACUCAAAAGAAUUGACGGGGUCAUAGCUGUUUCCU